UACAGAGGUCUCAAGCGUUGUUCGGAUUCAUUGGGCGUAAAGGGUGUGUAGGUGGCGCCGUUAGUCGGGUGUGAAAUUUCGGAGCUUAACUCCGAAACUGCAUUCGAUACUGCGGUGCUUGAGGACUGGAGAGGAGACUGGAAUUCAUGGUGUAGCAGUGAAAUGCGUAGAGAUCAUGAGGAAGACCAGUGGCGAAGGCGGGUCUCUGGACAGUUCCUGACACUGAGACACGGAGGCCAGGGGAGCAAACGGG
rnacentral:rRNA from 1 species